CUUCCAUUUUAAUUCAUUUUAGUUUUAUUAUUUGCUUUGUUUAACUCAACCCAAGUUACAUUCGUAGGUCCCACAUGCCCGGCUGGCAUGUGAUUGUGUAUUUUCUUCUUUUUUUUUUCUUUUUUUUAUUUAAGUUUGCAAUUUUUGUAAUAUCUUCCGUCCGGGCCCACACUUGGCAAAGCUUCUAAGCUUCCCUUGGAAGCUUUGUUUCAUUUUUAAUUUUUUUUUUUGAAAGGAAGCUUUGUUUCAUUUCACUCCGUAAAGUUUUCAUAAUUUUUACUGUCAUUUUUUUCGCGGUUUUUCAUUUCCACUCCCGGCGAUUCCAGUUCUAGGGUUUUGCUUCGCAUUCUUCCUCUUCGUGUCCGGUGUUGCGAUUGUAGUUGAAAGAAUUUGUUUUUGCGGUUUUCGUCUUCGGUUCCGCGUUGGAAGGGUAGGAUUUGGAAGUUCUUUCGUCUCCCGCUGUUGCCUCCGGUGAUUUCGCCGACUCCCUGAACGACGACGACGAUGAUGGUGAUGAAGACGAUGACGAGGAUGAAGAGAAGAAGUCGAAGGAGAUGAAGAGGUAUCCUCAUUGCCUCAUUUUUCUAGAGCUUCUGCAGAAUGCAAGCUUCAGAAACGCAACGGCACAUCCCUUAAACAAGGUUUCAAUGUCGACACAUUAUCAAGGGCUUGGUCUCGAGGGCGUUGCCUGCAGAAGAUUGAAGCACGAUGUUGUGCUUCGCGCUAGAGUUUAUAGAGCAAUGAAACUGCGCACAAAUGUUGUGCAUGUUUGUAUUCACAGCAUGGAUAGACGGGGAGAGAAGGAAGAAAGAGUUAGUAUUGUACUUGUUAGUUUUUGUAUUUUCCAUUUUCAUUGUAUGGGUUGAUGACUAAAUUACCAAACUUUUAUCAUUUGUUUUUGUUAGAGCCAUAAAUUUUCCAUUUGUUAUUCUCUAUAUUUUGGAGUUAUCAGUUAGUUUAUGUUA